GAGAGAGAGAGAGAGAGUGGGGGUGAAUUAUGUUGUGUUUAAUUACACUUCAGAAUCAGCUGCCUUAUGCUGUAGAUAUAGAAGUUUCACAACAAUAUGGGAAGAGUUACAUGAUAUUAUGCUAUUUUUGAUCGGCAAGAAAUCACUAUCUCUACAAUACGCAAUGCAAGUAAGAGCUUCCAAAACUUGAUCUUAGUUUAGUGGUGUGUUCCUUGUAUGCAGUCCUUGAAAUCAAUUAAAUUCUGUUAUCUUGCCGCUCACCUAGGAUGCCGCUGCACAGAUUGCCUAAAGAAUUAAUCCAGCCCCUAAAUUUCAUGACAUUCUGAUAAGAUUUACAAGAUUAUAUAUUUCCUUUUGAUGCAUAGGAAAUGGUUGGCUCUAAGAUACGUAAAGCAAUGUAAUAAAUUUUCAUAAAGAGCUUCCCAAGUCUACAGUUUGUUUCAAUUAUUGUGCAGUAUAUAUGCAAUCCUUGAAGACCAUCAAGCUUCAGAAUCUUCCAACUUCCCAGAAACAUUGCUAUGGAGGUGGCCAAAAUAAUUAUUCCAACCACUAAUCAGAGUUAUUUGGUUGUAGUAUCCAUGACUAACUAGAAGAAAGUAAACUUUUCCUAGAAAUAUAAUACCAUUGAAUUCAAACCACUGCGAGUUCUUCAUUAACUACAUUUCUCCAUUUUGUUUCACAUGUAAACUUUAGCUUGCAAUAAUUAAUUCUUGCUAUAUCUAAGCCUUUCAGACUCUGAUUUGUCCCAUGGCUACUUGUUUGAUUGCAAAGCCGGAACCUAUAUAUUAAUACAUAAAUUCCUUAUUCUACAUCAGAUCCCAUUUUGAGUUUCAGAGGGUCACAUCCGGCCAAGCCUGAGCUAAAGCAGUUGCAACCUGAGAAGAAGCAUUACUUUCCAAGCAGAAUACAGUCCUAAAGAUUGGUAAUGCAUCAUAAGCCAAAUGGGUGUUUCUCCUCCACCUCCAUUUGUUGGGCUUGUGUCAUCUAUGAUGACCUCAAUGCACCACAACAGUAUGGGCAUAUUGAGUGCCUGGUCAUCUCCAUGAUCUCAGAGCAUAGCUGGGCCUCCCAUUUCCUUUUUACAAUGUUUUUAUUGCUAAUCCGACAUGUAUAGCAACCAAAUGAAUCUUCUGUUCUACUGAAAAGAAGUUGUGUCAUGAGAUGUUGAGAUCUAGUUUCCAAAGUAAGCUUCAUUUAUUCAACAAGUGCUUCCCUUAGGAAUAACCUUCUGGCAUUGUGGAUAUGAGAGAAUCACCAUUCUAUGACAUUAUAUUAUGCAAAUAGAAUGAAGUAUCCUCUAGAAUUAUUUCUUGUAUCCUUGUGCCUAAGACAAUCUUUAUAUUCUUCAUUUUCUUUUGAUCUUAUAUCUCAUAAAUGGAUGAUCUAAGUUUUCAUUAAGAAGAUCACUGGAUUCAAGGAGAAGCAAUUCAGAGCCACUGCAUUGAAUAUAAAUUACAAGUUUAGUGGUGGAUCAAGAAUCAAAAUAAUCAUCAUUAUCCACUAACAAUAGUAACGGAGCAUAAAGGAGUGAUUUGCAGUAAACUAAGUAACAAUUUUUUAAUAACAAGACAUGCAGAGAAUUGUUGUUGUGUUAAGCAUGUGAGUGCUCUUCCCUCAGUGGCUUCCAUAGUGGCUUCCCUGCAGGCCUAAACUUUGUUCUCCAAGUGGCUUAUGUACUAUGGUCAUCAACCACAAUAUAGUGUUGGUUCUGAAUGAGCAAUGAGCUUAUCCAUUUAUAAAGUGUAGUUUGCAGCAUUUGAUACCAUUCCCCACCAACCCCUCUCAGUUGCUGAAUCAAAGAUCCUUCAGUUUCAGUAAGUAUGAAAUGUGGCUAAUCGACAAGUCAAUUGUGGAAUAUAUUAAAAGAAACAUGGUUCCAAGGCAUGCUAAAUUAAUAAUCUUCAAUUUGAGAUAUUUAGCAUGCUUUGGAUCAUGGAAGAUCUUUAUAAAGUAACCAGAAAUUCCAUCAUGUCAGAUUUUAGUGUUUCCAAUAAGGCCUAUGGAUGAAUCAGAGAGACAAACUUAGAAUUAAAUAUUGAACAGUAGUUGGAUUUAUGGUUGCUAGUGUUCUAGUGGCACCAUAAAAGUAGUGUUUGAUAGCUUAAUGAAUGACCAAUAAGGCAUAUAUGCUGCAAUGAUCUUAGAAGACAAUUAUUCAUCUGAACUCAGCUGUCAAUAGGGAAUAAGCUGUCACUUUCCUAAUUGCAAACACAAUCAUAUAUAUGCCACAAAAUUAGAUAUAUAUAUCAUGGCUUGCAUAUGAAAUUAAUUCCUUGAAAUUACAAGAAGAACACUAGGACGACUUCGUCAAAUACUUCAGAAUUUUCUCCCUUAGUAGUUUAGUUACAAAAAUUUUACGUUAGUUAAACCAAAAUUCUGUUGACCUUGUAUGCUUCUAUGGCAUCCUUAAUAAUAGAUGUGCAUAGAUUUAAAGACGAGAUAUAUCAUUCCUGCUAAUAACUAUGGAGUUCUUACAUGUAACCAAGAGAACUCCACAGGAUACAUUUUUUAUCCAGAAAAGUGUUUCACAAGAAAUUGAAUGAUGCAAUCGAACAUAUUCUGUGUAACAAAUGCCUCCAACUUCAUCAUGCCUGCAAUUCUUCGAAUUUUUCAGGAGUGUUUAUUUAGGAAUAGUGAGGAUGCUCCAUGACCAUGGCUCCAUGUCUAGCUCUAAUUUUUCGCAUUGUUUGUCUGCGCUUGUUACAUGAAAUCAUGCUGCUCUGGGUGAUGCAAUUGAGAGAAUUUUGGUAUGAUGCUCUUAGUGGAGCCACUUUCACUUAACGAAUAUAAUGUAGCAUCUUUUAGGUUAGCGACAAUUAUUUACUAAUGAAGGCAUUCAGAUCAUAUAGGUUUCUUGAUCCCUAUCAGCAAUUUCAAAUUACUAUGAUAAAUAGAGUUUUCUGUGGUUCUUGCGAAUGACAGAGGGAUAACAGGCCUUUCAACUUAAAUAAGAUACAGUAAAAACUCUAGUGCAGGUUAUAAGGCAGAGGCUAAGGGUAAACAACAGUAUCACACACAAAGGAAAAAAAUCAACACAAAUAAGCCAAAGUAAAAGCUUAAAAACUGGAUAUUAAUUUUGGAGGUUCGUUAUUGACGAAUUUAUCUGUAGUUAUAUGUCAUUGAAACAUUUGCUGUGGAGCCAAGGAAUGAGAUGAUAAGCUUAUCAUUUAGAGAAUACUUAGAUACAACAAAUCUCUUAAAUGAUAUGAUAAAGAAGGCAUUGGUUGAUACAACUCUCUAUGCUUUUGGCAGGAUUCUAUGCAUGCAUCACAAUUGGGAUGGCUAGUCAGCAUAAUUCAAUGUGAUCCACUAAGGAUUUUUAACAUAGGGAGGGGUAUCAAACAGCACAUCAAUCAACACCUUGUUCGGAGUUUACAAUUAAUGUGGAGGGGAAGUGGGGAUAAUAUAUAUUGUUCCCCAUGAACUUGUGUGGCAACUCGCCCACUUAGUGGUAUGUGUGUCGGAAAUGGAAACCCGGAAUCGAAUUUCUUUUCUAUUUUCAAUUGGAAAGCUGUCGGCUUGGAGUGAUGCAAAUCUCUUAGUGCUUGCUCACAGUCAUCAGCUAUACCUGCUUCAUCUUGUUCCAUAUAGCUCAUGACAUGACACAGUUCUUUGCCGAUUGGUAGAAGUAUACACUUGAGUCCUCAUUUGAAAAAAAAGGAAAACCCUUAACGUACCUUAUAGGGUCAUAUCUUAUUAUCAUCAUUAUUAUUAUUCAAAGUAUUAUAUAUUGCUUGAAGGUUUUUUUAUUUUUUUAUUUUUUUUUGAGAAAGAGAACUAGAGUAAGCCCAGCCAAUAUUUUUUAUAUAUUACUUGAGUGGGUUAGACCAUAUGCCAAGACUACUAAAUUCCAAACUUGGAAUGGUAUAGUGUUGGUUUUCUUUCUGGUACCUGAUAGUAUGUAUCGAAAUUGAAAAUAUUGAAAAGAAUGAUAAGCUCUUAGCACCGAUAAUAAGGUCGGUAUGGUCGUACAUAUUGGUAUGCAUCUGUACAGCAAUUAAGUCCUGUGUAGAUGAUUUUGGUGUCUUAGCCCCUAUAUUAGUGGCAAUUUUAUAUUAGACUAGGAUGGUAUCGGCAGUACUAUUCUAUUUCAACAAUUUUUUGAAUUCAUGCUAUGCGCUAUCAAUUUUUUUAAGUACAUAUAAAAAUACAUAUAAAAGUUUUAUUUUUAAAAGUUUAAAUUAGCUAAUAGAUAAGCAUAAUAGAUAGGAAGAAAAGUUAGACUGCUGGAUUAGGUUCCCAGCACAUAAUCACCACCCUAAAGAUCAUAAAGGAUAUUAAUUAGUGGGACGAGACACAUUGAGACGACCACAAGACCUAUAAGCACUUCUUCGUAGAAAAAUACAAGAUGAUGCUUGGCUUAUGAGUAUCCGAUAAUAGAAUUUGAUUUUGAAGGCUAUGUCAAGCAUGGUCCAAGGAGCACUUUCAUAUGAAUUAGUCAAAAGAGAAGUUUCACCUGUAUCAAAAUAGAAAUUUCAAACAAAAAAAUUUGUUAUAUCUGGUAUUAAAAUAGCUUUUAAAUGCAUCUGAAAUUACCUAAAAUGAAGCUUGGAUGAGGAAGUUACGGCCACUUUACUAAAGAGGUGUCAAGAAUGAUGAAGUUCUAGAUAUUAAUGAAAAUACCAUUCUAUGGCUUAUUAAUUUGAGGAUGAUUUUUUAUUUUAUCCAAAAUUUAAUUACUUCUUUCUUCUAGAAAGUCUUAUAAAAUGAGUUAGAAGUUCAAUAGAACUUAAAGAAUUAUAUUUUACUAUUUUUGAUAUUAUAUUUUAUUUCUUUUAGGUAAAUUGUAUCUUAUGAAAAUUAAGAAAAGUUUAUUGGCUUUAGAAAAUCUUUUCCAUAAAUUCCUCCCCAGUAUACUCAAUUUUCAUCAAUCAUUCAAAGCUAAUGGAAGUUUUUUCUUUCCCUUUUUAUCAAAUUCCUCUCAAAUUCUUGUGUCGUAAGAGGCUUCUUAGGAGCCUAUGGUGUGAGGCAACGACUUGGAAGAAGAAAUUAGUAAGAGAUAGGGAUUCUUCUUCCAAGGCCUUGUGAAGAUCUAAGGUAUGAGGUUGAAGAUCCAACAAGAAGGGAAGGUACUAGGCCUUCUAGUAUUCCUAUAGUUUUAGAUUAUUCUUUUUUUUCCUACUUUUAGUUUUAGUUCUUUUCUUUAUUUUUUUAAUUUCUAUUUUUUUUUUUGAUUCUAGUUAAAAUUCUACUUAUAAUUCUUGCUUCAAGUUUUCUUUUUGUCAUGCUACUUCGAUCUCAUGUGAGGUGUUUCACUAGACUCCUUGUUUGUAUUACUUGUACUCACCUAGGCUAGGAUCUUACUGAAUUGUCGUACUGAAUACACUUCAAGUGGCACUCACUGAAGUAGGUUUAGCAAGCAUGGGCCAAACUAAGCAUCCACUAUACAUGUAUAUUCUUUUGGAAGGUAGAAGGUUGGGAUUUUCUAUCUUUAACUUACGAGAAGGUAGAUCAAGGAGUUUUGAACCUGAUCCUUCAUCUUAGCAUGAAUAUAAGAAAAAUAAAGAAAAUAAAAGAAGAUACAAAAAGAAGCUCUGAGAGGAAGCGAUUCAGAUCUUAGCAAAAGAAACAUCGAUCUAAUUAAAUGAAACCAUAUUGAUUCCUAUUCUAAUAUGAAUUAUAGGAUAUCUCAUGUAAUUAUGUCACCUAGUAUGGAAUUGAAGAUAAUCGGCAAGGGAAAUUAAAGAAAGGGAAGGAGAAGGGCUUAUGUAGAUCGCCUUGCUAAAGCUUCCCUUUAGGAGAGGGCCCUUUGGGAAAAUCCCUUCUGCCUUAGAGCUCCUUCUAACUCUUUAGAUGUUAAGAUUUAGCUUUCUUGGAUGGUGUUGGGUAGGAUCCAAGAUACGAAGAAGCGAUCACAUAAGAGAGAUUGCCAUGGAUUUGAGCUUUCUCUUUUUUGACAUUUCUUCUCUUGGAAAAGUGGAAGGGAUUUUCUAAAUCUAUCUAAAAGGCUCCCUAGAAAUUUUUUCCAAAAAAAAUGUUUAAGAAGAAGCCCCUACAAGCUUAGAAUUGGGAGUAUUUAUGGGACAAAAGGUUCAGAUGGAAGGUUUUAGAGUAAGAUAAGAUUUCUCUUACCCGUGCAGGGGGUCCCCCCGUGCGCGUGAUGAUCGAGCGCGACGCGCCCGGUUAAAUAUUUUCGGAUCGGAUUCGCCAAUUUUGCCUUGGAUCUUCAUUGGGCUCGUGCGCGCGUGGGCUAUUUACUUUCUUUACUUCACCAAGUUAAAAGGUCGAAUACUACAUAAAUAUCUUUUAAGUUUUAUCUCUUUCCAAUGUGGGACUAAAGAAAGUAUACUAGACAAAAGGCAAAAGACAAAGAAGGGCAGACUUGGAAUUUUGAAAUAUUCCAACAAUCCCCCACAUAUUUUAAAAUUCAAUAAUAAGUUGACGAGCGCGAGAGUUCAAUGCAUCAAAAUGGUGUCUUUGAGACUAUGAACCAUUUUUAGGACUAGUAAGUAUGACUUACAGAACUUUGGUGAAAUAUGAAAUUUCUAUGAACCAAAAGUCCUUUAUGUAAAUAGUGACCCAUAGACCACAUUAACCUCUCAAGUUUUGGGCUUGUUCUAAAUGGGUUGGUGCAAAUAGGCCAUACACCUUACCUGGAUAUUCAUGAGUGCUUUAGAGAACUGCCUAAUUCUCAUAGAAAGCGGCCAAACUCCCACACCCAUAUAGGUGGAUCCAUCAAGUGUGUACUGUAGGUAGACACACCAUCCUAAAGGACUACCUCAUCCUCAUCUACUGCACUUUGCACUAUCUACACUAUAGGGAGGGUCAAAAUUAAAUAUGAUAGUGUACUCACAGUCAACUAGCGACUUGUUAUUACCCGUAUGAACAUGUUUCAUGGGAUCUCCAAUCACACAUGUUGGGUUUCUGUCGUUAUUGACUUCGAUAUAGGUAUUAGUCCCAUCCCCCUCGAUGUUUCACUCAUUAGUUUUCUACCUAGUAGUUUUGUCAGAGAUCGGCCAAAUUCAACUCUGACUUUACAAAAUCAAGAGAUAUAAUCCUAUCAUCAAGCAACUGCCUUACAAUAUUAUGUCUCAACCUUAUGUGUCUAUUCUUCCCAUUAUAAACUUUAUUCUUAGCUCGAUAUAUACCAGCUUGGUUAUCACAAAGAAUAGACACAGAAAGUAUUGGUUUAUUCCAUAAUGGAAUAUCCCCCACAAGAUUUCUAAGCCAUUCAGCUUCAGAACCUGCCUUUUCUAAGGCAAUAAACUCGAAUUCCAUCGUAGACCGAGCGAUGGAUGUUUGCUUGGAUGAUUUCCAAGAUACUGCACCCCCACCAAUAGUAAAGAUAUAUCCACUCGUGGAUUUCAUCUCAUCUAAAUCAGAGAUCCAAUUUGCAUCACUAUACUCUUCUAGUACAGCUGGAAAUCCACGAUAUAACAAACCAUAAUUAAUGGUUCCUUUCAAAUACCUUAGUACUCUAUGAACUGCACUCAAAUGAUUCUUACUAGGAUUAUGAGUAUACCUACUCAAUCUUCCUACUGCAUAAGCAAGAUCAGGACGAGUGCAGUUAACUAAAAACAUUAAACUACCAAUGAUGCGAGCAUAUUCUAUUUUUAAGAUACCAUUUUCUUUAUUUUUUUUAAAUGUAUACUAGCAUCAUACAGAGUAGAUAUGGGUUUACUAUCAUAAUGCUCAACUUUUCUUAAAAUUUUCUCAAUAUAGUGUUCUUGUGAUAAUAUAAGUCCAUUAGAACUUCUUGUUAUCUUAAUCCCAAGAAUUACAUCAGCUUCACCCAUAUCUUUUAUAUCAAAAUUAGAAGCCAAAAUUUUUUUAGUAUCUAUAAAUAUAUUCAAAUCAGUUCCCAUUAUAAGCAUAUCAUCAACAUACAAACAUAUGAUCACAACAACAUUAUUAACAACUUUACUAUAAACGCACUUAUCAGCCUCAUUAAUUAAAAAGCCAUUAGAUACCAAUACUUUAUCAAAUUUUUUAUGCCAUUAUUUAGAUGCUUGUUUUAAUCCAUAUAAGGAUUUUACUAAUUUACAAACUUUGUGCUCAUUACCAGGAACAACACAACCUUUUGGUUGUUCCAUGUAAAUUUCUUCAUCUAAUUCUCCAUUUAAGAAUGCAAUUUUACAUCCAAUGAGUACUCUAAUAGAUGAAAUUCUAGAAACUGGUGCAAAGGUGUCAAAAUAAUCAAUAUCUUUUCUUUGUGAGUAUCCUUUUGCUACUAACUUGCUUUAAACUUAUCAAUUGAAUUAUCAGGUUUUAACUUUCUUUUGAAAAUCCACUUACAACCAAUUGUUUUAGCACCUAGAGGUAAAUCAACUAAGGUCUAUGUAUGAUUAGACAUAAUAGACUCUAUUUCAUUCUUAAUAGCUUCCUUCCAAAAAGGUGCAUCAACAGAAGUUAUUGCUUUUUUAUAAGUUUAAGGUUCAUUAUCAACAAGAAAAGUGUAAAAGUCAUUUCCAAAAUUUUUCUCUUUUAUAGUUCUUUUACUUCUUAUUAAAUCAACUUCAUAAUUUUCAUGUGCCUCCUUUUUUUGUUUAUUAUGAGGUAGAGAGUCAAUUUUUUCUUUACCUAGUUUCAUAGAAAAGAUAUGUUCAAAGAAAACAGCAUUUUUAGAUUCUUCUAUAGUGUUGGGUUCCAUAAUAUUAGAUUCAUAUUUUAAUACCAAGAAUCUAUAAGCAGCACUAUUUAAUGCAUAACCAAUAAAUAAGCAAUCAAAAGUUUUAGGUCCUAUUUUUUUUUCUUUGGUUCAGGUAAUAGAACUUUAGCCAAACACCCCCACACUUUAAGAUAUGUAAGGUUAGGUACAUUACCUUCCCAUAACUCAUAGGGUGUCUUACCAGAUUUCUUACAAGGUAUUCUAUUUUGAAUAUGACAAGCAGAAAGAAUAGCUUCCUCCCACAAAUAAAGAGGUACUCCUGAGCUUAUUAACAUAGCAUUCAUCAUUUCUUUUAGAAUUCUAUUUUUACAUUCACCAACUCUAUUAGAUUCAGGUAAUUUUUCAAUCAAACAGCCGCAAAGAAAAAAUUCUUGAAGUAUUAUGUCUUCAUUUUUAAGAUCAGUGACCAGCCUAUGAAAAACAUGGAUUUGGGAUGACACAUCCCUAUCCUCGGACAUUUGAAAGUGUAGAAAAAUUUUUAUAGCAUAUUUUUGUACUCCAGCAUCUUCUAACACAUAUUUUUUAUUCCGAUUCUUCCAAAUUUCUGCAGCUUCUUUGUAUGAACAGUAGACAUCAAAAAAUUCAUUGGACAGUGUACUCAGAAUUGUGUGCCUACAGAUUUUAUUUUCAUGUUCCCACCCUUUGAAUUUCAUGUCAAAAUCUUUAGAUCUUUCUAUCGAUUUUGAUUGAUUUAAAUAUCGAGCAAAAUUAAGCAUAUCCAAUGCGGAAUAAACACGUUCUUGCCAUCUCUUAAAAUGCAUACCAUCGAAACUCUCAAUUUUAGAGGUAUCAGAAAUUGAUCUAGCAGUAAUCAUAGCAGAAUCCAUGUCGAUCUAUUCUUAAGAUUGUUAUAAAAUAAUAGAAGGAAAGAAGAAAGAACUUAUCAGUUGAGGUGUGAUUUCACUGUUCUUAAGAAUAGAUCGCACCCCUCGGAGAAUGAAUCUCGGUGUAGCAGGUAAUGGAGGCCUAUUCUCUAGGAUAGAACAAUUGGAUCACUCCAAGCGUACACUUGCAGAUGCAGUGACUCUAUCGAACAGCCCAGAACCGCUUAGGAAGACAGAACAGAGAGAGAGAGAGAGUAUCAAAGAGACUCUCGAAAAAUACAGGAAACAAGGAGAGACUCUCGGGAGCACAGAAAACAGGGAGAGGAAGAUAAGAUUUCUCUUAUCUUAAUCCUCGAAUCUAAUAGUGUUUAAAAAGAAAGGAAGAGGCGUUUUUAAAAGACACGGCGACGCGCCCGGUUAAACGUUUUCGGAUAGGAUUCGCCAAUUUUGCCUAGGACCUCCAUUGGGCUCGUGCGCGCGUGGGCUACUUACUUUCUUUGCUUCACCAAGUUAAAAGGUUGAAUACUACAUAAAGACCUUUUGAGUUUUAUCUCUUUCCAAUGUGGGACUAAAGAAAGUACACUAGACAAAAGGCAAAAGACAAAGAAGGGCAGACUUGGAAUUUUGAAAUAUUCCAACAAAGCAAAGAUAGGCUUCUUUUUUAUCCGUGCUAUGAAUCACCAUCAUUGAUGGCCUACAUCAAAGGAUAGAAUGUAUAAAUAAAAAUCAAUGGCUAUUUUCAAAAACAGGCUAGAUAGAGGUGGCAUUUUACUCCACCCCGUUGGGAGUAAAAAUCAACUUGACCCAACUCCAAGAGGGUAGAUUUUAUCCGACCUAUUUAGGGUCGGCGGUGAGUACAACUUUUCAUCUAAAAUCUACAGCUGGUCUAGGAUAGGUGCAGAUAAUGGCAAUGCCAACCCCUAUUUGCACCUUAUCUCAACAAUUAGAUGGAGUUUACAAAUAGGUGCCACAUGGACAAGGCUAAGGAAUCAAGACAGAUGGAAGUCACAUGAUCUUUGUUAGAUCUAACAAGACUUGGCCAUGACAAACUAGUGCUCACGACAAGUGUAGAAAUGCAGGCUGAAGGAAUAGAAUUUGAUCAUGACUAUCCAUGACAAGUGUAGAAAUAAAAGCCAAAGAAUAUUAACUUUAUUUUUGUGAAAACCAGCCCACAUACAGUGGGCUAAUGGGCCAAGCCCAACAUGGUCGGCCCAUUUGGAGAUCUAAACUAAGGAAGCUUCGGGAAGAAGGAGAAGCAGGCGGUUAUAACCACCCUGAUACUCCCGAUCUCCCUUUCCUCUCUUCCCGAAGAGGGCUAUAAAAGCCAUGGAUUUCUCCUCACCAAGGGACUCCAUUGCUUAUCUUUCAUCUACCUUUCACUCCCUUCUCCGUUACGAAGGAAUCGGAUCGGGAACAGCGCCGUCGGAGUAGGAGGCCGAGCCAUCGGGGGAAGCUACCGGAAGAAGCUCCCCAUCUCCUCGUUGGCGCUAGGUAUUGAAGAAUUGGCAUUUGGUGAGCAAAUUAAGAUGAAUAGGAGAUGCUAGGAACAAGGAGCGUGACAUGCCUCAGGGUUAUGGGAAUAAUAAAAUAUUAAAUGAUGAUAUUGUUUCUAGAAGCUAUGUACGGAUUUUAAUACCUGAACAUAGUUGUUUAGUAAUUGAAGUUUUAAAGAGGCUGCGUAUUAUUGUAUUUUUAACUUGGCAAUAGCACGGCCGUGUCAUGAUCCGAAUUCGGGGCGUGACAUUAAGUGGUAUCAGAGCAAUAAUUUUAACCAUGAUUAAAAACUUUAAGACUAAUCAUGGGAAUGGGUAGUUAAGUUAGCUUUUACAUAAUUGGAAUAACAAUAAUAAUAUUAAAAAAAAAUAAUAAGAAAAAAAUAAUAAAAUAUUAAUUUUGGGUUAUAUUGUUUUAGGUGACAAUGCGCAAUAAAAAGAAGAAAUGUAGAGCUAAUACAAGCCAUUCUAGAAACGUGAUUGUGACAGAAAAACUAUCAAAGCCUAGGUUAAGAUCAUUGUGAAUUGUGAUUUGAAAACUACCGGAGCUGAGGUUAAGAUCGCAUAGGAUUGUGACAAAAUUAGAAUCAAAGAAUAAUUUUAAGAUCACUAGGGUUUGCAACAGAAAUGUAUCAUAGCUUAAGGUUAUGAUCACUUGGGAUAUGACAAAAGUAGUAAAAAUUACAUUUAGUGCUUAAGUGAAAGAUCACUAAGCAUUUUAAGUACCGGGUUUGGUAUUCGAUGAGUACGAAAGUACUGGAUAAGAUGUUUUGAUCAUGAUGAGAGAUGUUUUACCUAAGAUAAGUGUAGGAAGGUUAACUAUGACAUAGCGGUUAUACUAUGUUCGGAUAUUGUAUAAAUGACUCGAAAGUGUAAAAUUAAUAUAAAUUUGGAUAUGAUUAUUAGAGUGUGAUUUGUACAUAGAUUGGUCAUAGAAUUGGAAUGAGUCAAGAAGGAUUUUAUUUUAUAUAGUAUUAUAAAGGAUUGUUCUUCAAGGUUAAAUCUGUAUGUGGAUUAUAAUUGGUUUUGGCAUACUUGGAUAUUGCAAAUAGUUGUAUUCUAUUGGUGGAUUAAAUUCUUAAGUGCAUAUUGAUUGGGGAAUUCUAGUUAUUUGAAUUUCCAUGUUGGAUUGGGCUAUUAGAUCUUUUUCAUAAUUAUUGGACACUUUUGGAUGUGUUAGUUUAAUCUCAAGUUUAAGUUUAUGAUUUGACAAGGGAUCUUUAUUAUUGAGUGGAGACUUUAAUUUUGGAGAUACUUAUUGAAAUUGAAAUGCUUGCUAACUGGGCUCGUAGCCAAAGUGUGGAUCAGCUAUGUUGGGAGUCCUCUCAGUGGAUAUUUCAGAUUAUGAUUAAUUGGA